rnacentral:misc_RNA from 1 species
GAUGAAGAACGCAGCGAAAUGCGAUAAGUAAUGUGAAUUGCAGGAUUCAGUGAAUCAUCGAAUCUUUGAACGCACAUUGCGCCCCCUGGUAUUCCGGGGGGCAUGCCUGUCCGAGCGUCAUUACAACCCUCAAGCUCAGCUUGGUAUUGGGCCCCGCCGCUCCGGCGGGCCCUAAAGUCAGUGGCGGUGCCGUCCGGCUCCGAGCGUAGUAAUUCUUCUCGCUCUGGAGGCCCGGUCGUGUGCUCGCCAGCAACCCCCAAUUUUUUUCAGGUUGACCUCGGAUCAGGUAGGGAUACCCGCUGAACUUAAGCAUAUCAAUAAGCGGAGGA